GAUUUUUUUGUUGCUGUCGUUUUUUUACCCUUUUGCUGCAUAAUCAGCAGAAAGCUGAGGUUGAUGCUGCUGUCCAGCUGCUACUGAAGCUGAAAAUGGGCUACAAACAGAUGACUGGUCAGGACUACAAAGCAGGAUGUCAGUGAACAACAGAACAGCAGCAGAUUUGGCCGGUGAGGACGACACGGUGGAUCCAUGGACCGUUUCAACCACCAACGCCAAGGGAGUCGAUUAUGACAAAUUAAUAGUGAGGUUUGGGAGCAGUAAAAUUGACCAGGAGCUGGUGGAUAAAGAAGGUUUGUGGACAGAAGCCCCAUCGCUUCCUAACAAGAGGAGUUUUCUUCUCACACAGAUGUUUGUUCUUCCA